rfam:Nicotiana attenuata strain TT scaffold03848, whole genome shotgun sequence.
UGGACAGAUUAUUGUAUUCGACUGUAUUCACGGCGUGAAACAGGGGAUUACAUUGUUUUUAAACGGAAAGUGAAUCAAUUAACAUAAUAGACUCCU